CCGCUCCUAGAAGGGGGUGGGGGGCGGUUUCGUGCAGUUUCUUGGAGAUGAGGUAAUGAGUUCCAGAUUUUAGGACAGAGCAGGGUGCGCGUUAAAAACCACAAGGUUAGUCUGCGUCCUGAUGUGAAGCUAUUUCGGUUGUUUUAUUCCCCCGCCCCUCCCCCCCCCCAAAGGGCCCAUUGGUCUGAGUCUGGAGGGUUCUCGAAGCUGUGCUGGGGGUACAGGGUGAGGUGGAGAACCGAGGGGUGAGGGGGACGCGCGGGGCGGUUGUUCCCGCCCGGGGCCGGGCCGCGCCCGCCGCUCCCCUCCCCUCUCCGGGGGCGCUCUCCCCCGCGGCUGCGGGACCGGCCCGAGCACCACUACCGGCGUCGGCGCCCCGGGCUACUUAGAACCCCCCCCCCUCGCCACCCCCCGCAAAGAGAACCCGAUUCCUCGAAUUUCCUCCGCUUUUCCAACUCCCGGAGGGCACUCCCCUCCCCCGCUCCCGGAGGGGGCGCGGGCUCCGCGGGGCGGCGGCCAGCCUGGCCCGCUGGCCCCGGAGUUGUUUACCGGCCCGGCCGACCGACCGGGUUUGUUCCAGCUCCCAGAGCCUGCCUCUAUAAUUAAACCCUUUUUUUAAUUGUCGGGUUGAAACGUCAUUUCGGGGACUUUCCAAGGGUGAGGGAGCCGAGGGGAGGGAGCGAGCCUCCUUAACCCUUCGCUGACCCGGCCGCCGGGGCGCAGCUUCUGGCACGGCCGGGGCGGGGUGGCGAUCUGGGGGCCUGAGCCGGCCAGUCCCCGCGGAGAGGUGCUCCUCAAGUGCCCGAUGGUGGCGGGAACGGCAGAGCCACGACCCGGCAGGAAGCGCGACGGGAGGCGUGCACCGCCCUCCCCGCCGCUGGGCUCGGCAGGGCGCCCCGCGGCUCCUUCCCCGCGCCGUGCGCAGCGCAGAAGGGCCGCCCCUUCACCUGCACCGCCGCUUCCGACUGGGCGGCGCCGCGCCAGGUCCACGGCCCGGCCGACUUCCGGGCCCUCCCUGCGCGCUGGGAGCCGGUCUCCGCGAGGGGUGGGCCUAGCCAGGUCUUUUUGGCUUGGGGGUACCAGGUUUUGUCAAAGGGGGAAAGUGAAAGUCCUCGGAAUUAGGGAAACACGACGGAUCUAUUCUGUGACCAGUCUGGACCCUGGGCGCACCUCGAGGCAGGAUUUCCGAUACGACAUUGAAGGGCACGGUGAAAGUGAACACCCUCGCCGUGAUGGCAGUCUCAGGAGAAAGCAUUCAGUCUUUCACUAUUAACUUCCCCAAAGCACUGACACACCUUCUCAGUGCCUGAUACCGAACAGUCCCUUCUGUCACGCCCACCCCUGCCCCAUAUGAGCAAACGGAGUGAAAUGAAACCACCAUGUCAUUGUUUUUUGUUUUGUUUUUUAAAUAAAUUUUUUUAUUGAUUUCAGAGAAGAAGGGAGAGGGAGAGAUAGAAACAUCAAUGAAGAGAGAGAAUCAUUGAUCAGCUGCCUCCUGCAUCCCGCCCCCCCCCCACCCCCCUCACUGGGGAUUGAGCCCAAAACCCGGGCACGUGCCUUUGACUGGAAGGGAACCCAGGACCCUUCAAUCCAUAGGCCCGACGCUCUAUCCACUGGGCCAAACCGGCUAGGGCCCACCAUGUUGAUUUUUAAAAACCCGUUCUUGUGCUGAAUUUGGAAUGCUUUGUGGAGCACAGAUUAAUUACCUCCCACAGAUGUGGGGGAAACUGAGGCACCGGAGGGGAGGUGGCAGCAGGUGGCCAGCGCCCACUGCAGGCAGGUGAGAUCAGGGUCCCCUGGCUGGCUCUAGGAGGUGCCUGCUGAGCCUGAAAGGACCCGAGAAAGACUGGACUCCGGCCCGGGAGCUUGCUGCUCUGUGGCCGCCGUCUGAGGGCAGGCAGAGGAGGCACACCAGGAAGCUCAGGACUCAGCUGGGCUUAAGCCUUGAAUAAUCACCUGAGAAUAUGGGGAAGUACCUCCCACAGUGCCCCGCCCAUGGGAACCUAACAAAUGCUGGUUUGGUUCCUUGGCAAACUCCUGCUUCCUGGGUCACCAAAGAAGACAGGGAAGCAGCACCUGUCCUCUCCCCUCCCCCACCCCCAGGUACACUGCACAGAGGCUGGUGGGAGGGAAGGUGCCUAGGAAGAAUCUCCAGGGGGUUCUUGUCCAAACUGGGGAGUCUGCUUCAGCGUAAACAAGGGUAUAGUGCGUGCCUGUAAACUGUAAAGUCCUCACAAGUAAACCACGUUCCUGUAUUGUCCGUCCUCCCGCCAGCCAGUUUGCUUUGGAAUGGUCCUCCAGCCCAGAGUGGGGCAGACCCCGCCCUGGGGAGCUGUUGUCUGAAAAGCGGGACCCACCUCCUCAGCCAGCGCAGGGAUCAGAUGGCUCUUGGAGGGUGGCCACGUAGGCAGCCGGUGGAAGAGCGAGGAUGGGUCUUUGCCACAGCCCUGUGACUGCUUUAGAUCUGAGUUUCUCCCGCCAACUGCACCCUCCACCCCAGGGGCCUGCAGGCCCCAAACCAGGGCCUGCCCUCGUCUGACCAAAGGCAACCAGAUCUGCUGCAGCUGUUCAGGGAGAGAACAAGCUCUCCCAGAGACAGGGAAGCAGCUGGAGAGAGAUGCCUGCCAGCCCGGGGGGUGUAAAUAUUUAUACAACGUGGUGCGUGGGAAGAGGGAAGGCAGAGGUGGCAGGAACCAGGCGGCGCUGAGACCGCAGGUUGAAGGGGCCUGUGCUUUGGCUUCAGGUGGAAAAGGCAAGAGGUGGCUGGGAUCCUCAUCUCCACCUGAAUUCCUACAUCACAGUGGCCAGUCCUUACUCCCAGCUGGCUCCUGGCAGAGUUGAGGGAAGAACUUAGAAAAAAAGGCAUCACCAGUUCCCUCCCCGGUCUUCCUGUCUAGGAUCACCCUGGAACCAGACACAACAAACCCACAAGGCCCAGGAGUAGGGGCUUGGGGACUCCUGGGUCUGUGGUUCGAGGGUCUGAAAGAAUUUGCCUGGCUGGAGGGGCUCAGUGUAGAGCAUUGACCUAUGGGCCAGGGAGUCAUAGUUCGAUUUCCAUUCCGGUCAGGGCACAUGCCUGGGUUGCCAGCUCAAUCACCAUUGUGGAGCAUGCAGGAGGCAGCCAAUGAUUCUCUCUUGUCACUGAUGCCUCUCUCUCUCUCUCUCUCUCUCUCUCUCUCUCUCUCCCUCCCUCACUCCCUCUCACUCUCUGAAAUCAAUAAAAAAAC